AUUGAACGCUGGCGGCAGGCCUAACACAUGCAAGUCGAGCGAGCGGCGGACGGGAGAGUAAUGUAGGGGAAUCUGCCCGGGAGAGGGGGAAAACUACUGGAAGCGGUGGCUAAUACCGCAUACUAUCGUGUGCCCCCAUAUGGGAUUAGCUAGUAGGUGGGGUAAAGGCUCACCUGGGCGACGAUCUCUCGCUGGUCUGAGAGGAUGAUCAGCCACACGGGGACUGAGACACGGUCCAGACUCCUACGGGAGGCAGCAGUGGGGAAUAUUGCACAAUGGGCGCAAGCCUGAUGCAGCCAUGCCGCGUGUAUGAAGAAGGCCUUAGGGUUGUAAAGUACUUUCAGCGGGGAGGCGUUACCCGCAGAAGAAGCACCGGCUAACUCCGUGCCAGCCGCCGCGGUAAUAC
rnacentral:rRNA from 1 species